rnacentral:snRNA from 1 species
GUGCUCACUUUGGCAGCACAUAUACUAAAACUGGAACAAUACAGAGAAGAUUAGCAUAACCCCUUCACAAGGAUGACAUGCAAAUUCAUGAAGUGUUCCAUAUUUUU